GUACUCACUUCAGCAGCACAUAUACUAAAAUUGGGACAGAUUACAGAUUAGCCUGGCCCCUGUGCAAGAAUGGCAUGCAAGUUCGUGAAGCAUUCUGUAUAACA
rnacentral:snRNA from 1 species